AAUGGGAAACAACAAACUACUUCAUAAUUAUCUGCCAUCAAAUCCAUCAAAUUACAAUUCAUUUCCAUUAAAACUCUCUUGAAUACACCAACCUUCUUGAAUACUCCAACCAUCAAAUUAAUUCAAAAUCCCUUCCAUUCUCUUCUUCAACUCUCCGACCCUUUGUCUUUCUCAUGGCUUCCAUCUAACUUCGAUCAUCGGUCGCCGCUUCCUCAGCAUUAGAAGGAACCAUAUGCAUUAAAGAAGUUGUCUCCCUCUUUCUGAUUCCCUCAGAAGUUAUAAGCUGAGCAACCUUAUUAGAUUCCCUAUUGGUAAAAUGAAAAGCACAAUACCUGAAACCUAAACUCAGUUUCUUAAGAUCAUUUAUAAACGCUGCAAUUUCAAAUUUGUCAUCCUUCUCCUCUUGCAGUUUACAGAUCACCGACCGAGAAUCUCCCUCAACUUCCACUUCCCUCAAUCCAAGGUGUAUCCCGAGAUUGAGUGCCUGAAAACACGCCAUCGCUUCAGCUGCAAAAACAAAUAGUAUAUUCACAUUCAUGACUGUCUUUGAGCAGAUAACAUCUGCUUUUUCAUUUCAAACCACUAACCCAGAACACUACUCGUUCCUAUGUUUGUUGAAAGCUGCAUCGAGGUUUAUUUUAAACCUCAACCCUAACGGAGCAACCCAUCUAGCCAUAUGAACCCAUCUUUCAGGUACGUACAUAUUUACCCAUCCAGUUCCUUUAGAUAGUUUAUCACAAAAUCUGCAACUUGGGCACUCGAUUUCAUUUGCCCCUCAUGUAUAAAUAUGUUUCUGGAAGUCCAAAUCGCCCAUAGUGCACACGCUAUCACCCUGCACUUAGCCAUAGAAUGUGACUCAAAAAUAUUUUUUAGCUAAUCUUUGAAAUCAGUAUUUGCAUUUGAAAUAGACCAAAAAAUAUUUAACUUCUCCCAUGUUUCCUUUGCUGUAGGGCAUACUCGAAACAAGUGCUCCCUCGUUUCUACUCCAGUUUGACAUUUUCAGCAAGUAGUAGAACCCAUCAUUCUUCGAUAGUGAAGAUUACCAAAUGUAGGAAAAUAAUUGCACGAAAAUCUCCAAAUUGUAAUUUUGAUUUUAGGGGGUAGAUCUAAAUUCCACAAUUUCUUGUAAAAUUGUUUGCAAUUAGGCUGUACUUGAUUCGGACUGUCAUGAUAAAGAAAUUUGUGUCUACUACGGACUGAAUAUUCCCCGGUCGACUCACCACGCUAGAUGAUAUAGCCCUCGUGUGAAAACAAAGGCAAAGGAAUACAUAAAAUCCUCUCUGCAUCCUUCUCCGAAAAGAUAUUAUAAACCAACUCAGCUUUUUAUUUCCUUGAAUUUGCAUAAAUUAAAUCUGCAACUUUUAGAAGUCUUGAGUUAGCAUUCAUAUUCUAAAUUCUGAACUCGUCAUUUCCAGGAACCCAAGCAUCUCCCCAUAUAGAAACUUUUCGUCCAUCAGCAAUCCUCUAGCCCAAGCCUUUCAAAAGGAGUCCCUUCGCAACCUAUAAACUCUUUCAGUUAAAGGAAGGUAAAUUUCCCAACCUAGAAUUUAAGAAAUCAGAAUCUUUAUAAUAUUUGGCUUUCAAAGUACGUGCUAGUUUCACGGACUUAGAAUUUUUGCAAGCAAUCCGUGCGGCCUUAGGCAGAUUCCUCUCUCAAACGUCUAAGUCAGUCUAACUUACAACAAUUAAGGAUCCAAAUAGAACUCUUCUAAGGAACCCAUGAAGAACAGUAGAAGAACGAAGUAAGAACGAACUUGAACGAUGAACAAAAGCUAUAGAAAAAUAUAAGUACUUGAGAGAAAAGUUUGAGUGAAUGCUUUCAAAAUUCUAUUAAUAACUGAAUGAAUUACAAUAAGGGGGAGAGGCCUCUAUUUAUAGUUGAGCCUUCCCAAUAUCUAUGGUACAGAUCGAAAUACAUCAAUUGCUAAGAUUAAAAGCUAUCUAGAUAUCAAAUUUUUAAUAUUACAGAAUCUUAUCUUCUAAAGGUUACAUUUAAUGUUUAGGAUCACAUAUCUUCGGAGAUCCCCUGCCAUAUUUGCUGUGCAUAUCUUUAAAGCUCACUUUUCAUAUUUACCAAGAUCUCGAUAUGGGCUUUCAAUCUCUCCAUGCAAUGGACCUGUCCGAUUAGGCCGAAUGACCUCUUUCGAAUGCAAUGGAUCGUACAAAUUCGUCAUGGUUGCAGGUUCCCAUUCACAACCCAUGACAUUCUCCCCUACUUGUUCUAGCAACGCCCUCGUCGCGUCUCUCUCAUGGAACUAGUCUAUCUUCUAUUAAAACUGCCAUAAUGGCUCGGCAGGUUCCCAACUUGUUUCGCUAUCAGGAAGUCCCUUCCAUCGAACCAAAUAUUUAUACCGUGAUCAAUAGUACCUUUGUCUAACCACACGAUCUGCCUCAAUGUUUUCAACUUUACGGUCGUAUAAGACCUUUACCUAUAUUGGUGCUCGUUCAGACUUGCCUCGAUUGGGAUCCUUUUGAUCCACAUGAAAUGACUUAAGCAUGUUUACAUGAAACACUGGGUGGACUUUGAGCUUUGCUGACAACUCAAGCUUGUAGGCUACCUUGCCUACUUUCUUCACAACUUUGAAUGGCCCUUUGUACCUUCGUAGAAGCCCUUUGUGCAAACCCAUAUAUCGUAACAUCAAGUAUAGUUUGGCAAGGACUGAGUCACCCAUUUGAAAUUGCACAUCUCUUUGAUUCUGAUCGGCUCACUUCCUGUUGCGCUUGCUUGCCUUGUGUAAACAAGCUCUAGCCAAGUCAUUCUUCUCUUGCUAAUCUUUCGUAAAAUGAUAAGCUGCAGGAUUUGGUCCUAUAUAAUGGGUCGCAAUAGCGUUGAGUGUGAGUGGCUGUUGGCCCAUCACUAUAUCGAACGAGUUUUGAUUCGUGGCCCCACUUCGCUGCAAGUUAUACAAAAAUUGAGCCACAUCCAACAACUUUGGCCAAUCCCUUUAUGUGGCACUCACAUAGUGUCGAAGAUAUGUCUCCAAUAAUGCAUUCACUCAUUCGGUUUGCCCAUCUAUUUGUGGAUACAUGUUUGUGGAAAAGUUCAAGUUCUCCAAAAUUGGCCCGUAAAUUGUCCAUCUCGAUCACUGAUAAUAGACAGUGGCACUCCUCAAUUUCACCACGUGACUAAGAAAUAAACAGGUUGCCUCCUCAUCAGGGUACUCCUUGAUAGCUGGAAUAAACGUCGCAUACUUUGAAAAUCUGUCCACCACAACAAGAAUACUUGUAAACCCGUCAGACUUAGGCAAACCAACAAUAAAAUCCAUGGAUACACUCUCCCAUGGUCUUUCCGGAAUGGGUAAGGGUUGUAGCAAAUCGGCUGGACUUUUUAACUCAACCUUUUCUUAUUGGCAUAUUAAACAAGUCUUCAUAUAGGUCUCUACAUCUUCACCUAUGUGAGGCUAAUAGUAACGAUCCUCCAGAAGGGCCAAAGUACAGUACAUUCCUGAAUGGCUCGUCCAUUUUGAGUCAUGACAUUCUUUCAUGACUUCCUUGCACAAUUUCCCAUAGUGAGGCACAUAGAGACGAUGUCCAUAGGUAUAUAACAAUUCUCCAUCAAGCCAAAAUCUCCUCGUUUUCCUCUCAUUGGCAAGCUCAAUCAAGCUUUUAGCCGUGGGGUCAUGGGACAAUCCUUCUCGAAUGCGCUCUAAUAAAGACCUAUCGGGUUGGCUGAUUACUGCAAAUUCCAUCUUUCGGCUAAGUGUAUCAGCCACAAUGUUGGCACUUCCUGGCUUAUAUUCCAUUUUGAAAUCAAAUUCCGCUAGAAAAACCUGCCAAUGAGCCUGUUUGGGAGAACUUUUUCUGGGUUAGAAAAUAACUGUUGGCAACGUUAUCAGUAAGGACUACAAACCCAGUAAAUAAUGCCUCCAUGUGCGUAAGCAAUACACCACAGUAGUCAUUUUCUUUUCUUACACCGUAUAUCUCUGUUCCAUUUCAUUAAGCUUUUGACUCUUGAAAGCAAUUGGAUGUCCAUCUUGCAUCAGUGCUCCCCAAAUGACAUAAUCUGAUGCAUUUGUGCGUACCUAUAAGGCUUUGAGUAAUCUAACAAUGCAAGUACAGGCUCCAUUGCCAUACUUUACUUUACCCUUUUUCAACAUGUCCGUCAAGGGUGCGGUAAUUCUAGAGUAGCCUUCGAUAAAGCGUUGAUAGUAGUUUGCCAACCCAAGGAAAAAUCUCAACUCUGUCACCUUGUUUGGAGCCUCCCACUCAGCAAUGGCCUGAACCUUGCUUUCAUCCAAUUGGAUCUUGCCACCUCCCACAAUGUGGCCUAAAAAUGGCACCUCUCUUUGGGUAAAAAAGCUUUUCUCCUUAUUGACAAACAACUCAUUUUCCCUCAAAGUUUGGAACACUUCCCUCAGAUGUUCCACAUGCUUGUUGAGCGACUUACUAUACACCACAAUAUCGUCAAGGUAAACAACUAUAAAACGACCAAGAAAAAAAUUGAAGUACCUUAUUUAUCAGGGUGCAGAAUGUAGCUAGGGCAUUCGUGAGUCUGAAGGGCAUCACCAAAAACUCAUACGAACCGUACCGCAUUACACAAGCUUUCUUUGGCUCGUCCCCAUCAUCUAUCCGAACUUGAUGGUACCCCAAUCUUAAGUCCAACUUGGUAAACCAUCUCGCACUACCAAGCUGGUCAAACAUGUCUGCAAUAAGGGGAAUACAGUACCUAAUUUUCAUGGUAAUCUUGUUUAGUACCCAGUAAUUGAUGCACAUCCAUAAUGACCCAUCAUGUUUCUUUUGAAAUAACAAUGGUGCACCAUACGAAGAUUUAGAUGGACUAAUGAAUCCCACAUCUAAAAGCUCCUUCAACUGUUUCCGUAGUUCUUCCAAUUUUGGCGGGGACAUACAAUAUGGGGCCCUAGCUGGCGGCACCAUGUUGGACACCAAUUCGAUCCUAUGAUCCACCUCCCUCUUAGGUGGCAAACUCUUUGGCAACUUUGCAGGCAUCACAUCCCGAAAAGAUUGUAAUAUUUGGCCCACUUCCUUAAGGAUCUCACCAACAGUCUUAACGGUUUCCUUUAUCUUCAAAGUGGCUAAGUAGGAGACUUCAUCUCUACGUACUCCUUUAGCAAAUUGGAUUGUGGAUAAUAUUUUUCCUUCCAGGCUCCCUUUUCUUGUCAAUCUCACCAUGUAUUAAUAGUUCGAAUUCGAAAUCACCAUGUAAUUAUCGGAAAGACAAAUGGACGCAUUAACCUGAUCAAGAAAACUUAAUCCAACUACAAAGUCAUAGUCAUCAAGUGGUAUUACCUUGAUAGAUGUCUUACCGGUCCAAUCACCAAGUUGAUGAUUUACUCUCUUUGUAACCCCCUUGAUUGGAACACUUUCCGAAUUCAUCGUCUUGAUUCUACCCGGCUCAUUUUCAAUUUUGAGGCCAAGUUUAUGAGCAGCCCUUUUGGACAUGAACAAAUCAGACGCCCCUGUGUCAACAAGUGUAUUCAACUUUCUGCCAGCCAAUAUGAUGUCCGCAAACAUUAGCCCAUAACCCAUCUUGUCUUCAACACCCUCUAGUAUUGAACUAAGAUUUUUAUUCUCCACAUCGGACUCCACUUUUACUUCCAUACCGGAAAGCACGGCCUUCUUUGGACAGUCUUUAAUCAUAUACAGGCCAUCACAAUAGAAGUAACUUAUAGGCCGUCCUUUCUUUUUGUCCUACAGCUUCUUACCGUUGCCAUUCCUAGUAGGCAUUUCUUUGUCUCCCCCACUAUUUCCCUUCGGAUUAAAUUUGGGCUUAAAAGACUCAAGCCUGUCUUUCUUCCCACCAAAUUUGGCCAACGAUUUUGCUACAGACAUGGCCUUGGUAAGCUCUUGGACUCCUCGGUGUUUUAACUCUUGCUUCGCUCAUGGUUUCAACCCAUCCAUGAAGGAAAAUAAUGCCUUUUUUCUCACCCAUAUCUGAGAUUUGAAGCAUGAGUUCGCUAAACUCCUGCACAUACUCCCUCACAGUGCCUCGUGAAAGCCGGCGCAAUUUUGCCUGAACUUCAUCUUCGACAUACUCUGGAUAAAAUUGUGCCUUAAACUCGCAUUAGAACUCCUUCCAAGUUCCAAUUUCUUUCCCAUCACGUCUCACAUUGUUGGACCUACGACGCCAUCGCAACAAGGCAAUAUCAGUAAGAUACAUAGCAGCAGAAUUACCUUAUUAGCAUCGUUUGUGAUGCCUUUGGAAUGAAAGUUUUGCUCGACUCCCUACAGAAAGUUAUCCACAUCUCUUGCGGACCUUGUUCCCUUAUACUUCUUGGGCUUAGGAACAUCAACACUGGGCUUGGGUGUGACAGUAGCUAAUCCUCCAUUGCCCAAGGCAGCCUUGUAAAUUGUGAGUUCACCUUUGAGCUCCGUAAUCUUCUCUUUCAAAGCCGUCAUCAUAGCCUUAAUGGCAUCAUCCCUACCAGUCAGUUUUUUCUCAAUGGUAUCAUCUUUAGCAGUCAGCUUUUCAACAGUCCAACACAUAAUCUUUAAGUUGCUCCUUCAUGGAAGCAACCCAUCGUUGACCCUAUCAUCGAUAUCAUCAAUUCUCUCAUUGACAUCCCCCAUGGAUUCCUCGAGAGUGACGACUCAAUCUUCCAAAGCCGACAGUAUGUCCCUCAAACGGCUAGCUUUCUUAUCCCUCCCACGGGUCUCUAUUCCGUCAACAUUCUCAGUGACAUCUUUUAACAGUGCCUUUGAACGCUAGCUCGAAUACUAACUGUCACGAACUUAAAAUUUUUGCAAGUAAUCCGUGUGGCUUUAGGUAGUUUCCUCGCUCAAAACACCUAAGUCAGCCUAAGUAGCAACAAUUGAAGAUUCAAACAGAACUCCUCUAAGGCACCCACGAAGAACAGCAGAAGAAUAAAGUAAGAACAAACUUGAACGAUAAACAAAAGCCACAGAAAAAUAAGAACACUUGAAAGAAAAGUUUGAGUGAAUGCUCUCAAAAUUCUAUUAAUAACUGAAUGAAUUACAAUGAGGGGGAGAGGCCUCUAUUUAUAGCUGAGCCUUUCCAAUAUCAACGAUAAAGAUCGAAAUACAUCAAUGGCUAAGAUUAAAAGCUAUCUAGAUAUCAAAUCUCUAAGAUUAUAGAAUUGUAUCUUCUAAAGAUUACAUUUAAUGUCUAGGAUCACAUAUCUUUGGAGAUCCCCUGCCAUAUUUGCUGUGUAUAUCUUCGAAAAUCACUUCCCAUAUUUAUCAAGAUCUAGAGAUGGGCUUUCAAUCUCUCCAUGUAAUGGACCUGUCCGAUUGGACUGAAUAACCUCCCUUGAAUGCGAUAGAUCGCACAAGUUCGUCAUGGUUGUAGGUUCCCAUUUGCAACCCAUGACACUAGUAAAGAAUUAAGAUUCCGUAACAAACGUCAACCCUAUUUGGCCAAUAACAUGAUAUUAAGAAGAUUCAAAUUACGAAAACCCAUACCACCAUUUUCUUUUAGCGUAUAUAAAGACUUCCAAUCACACUAGUGCAUACCUUGCUUUCCAUGACUUUUUUCCACCAAAAAGAACCCAUUAUGUUUUCCAACUCCAUACAUAAAGAUUUUGGAAAGAGAAAACACGCCAUCGUAUAGCUGGGAAUUACUUGCAAAAUAGCCUUGAUAAAAACCUCUCUGCCUCCUUGUGAAAUAUGCCUUAUACUCCAGCUGUUAAUCUUCUACUUUAAUGUAUCUUUCAGACUUUGGAAAGCUAUUUUUUUUUUCGACCCACCAUAUUUAGAAGUCUUAAAUAUUUCUCUGGCUCAGUCGAACAACAAACAUCAAGAACCUAAAAAUCCAAGUUCUUAUCUUGAUCAUUCACAUUCGAACUAAAAAAAGUAGUGAAUUUUUCAAAAUUAACACAUUGCCCCUAGCAAGACUCAUAUUCACUUAGGAUUUCCUUUAACACAUUAAUUCCCUUAUUCGAAACCUCACAAAAAGUAUACAAUCGUUUGUGAACAUGAGGUGGGUGAUUGGUGGGGAAGAUCUACAUACCUUAGCACCACAAAUUUUCCUUUCCUGACUUACCAAUCUCAUUAACGUAGAUAGCCUUUUUUCACAAUAAAUAAAUAAGGGCUUAAUGGAUCCCCUUGUCGCAAACCGCUCGAUGACUUGAAACUUGAUCAUUCCUCUCCAUUAAGUAAAAUAGAUUAUUGAAUAGAAUUAAUACAUCGGAGAAAUCAAUAAACCAAUCUACAAAACCCAUUUUUGGCAUCAUACCUUUGAUGAAAGGUCACUCCACUCUAUCAUAGGCCUUACUCAUAUCGCCCAGAUCUUUUAUUCUUAAAUGAAUGAAGUAUCUCAUACGCCAGAACACAUUGUCAGUAAUGAGUCUUCCAGGUAUGAAUGCACUCUAAGAGUCAUCUAUACAAUCAUCUAGAACCUUUUGUAAACAAUUGACAACAGUCUUGGCAAUAAUCUUAUAGAUAAAUGUACAUAAGCUAAUAGGGCAAAAAUUUUUCAGAUUAAUAAGAUUAGCGGUUUUUGGAAUCAACACCAACUGAGUUCUGUUAAUUUCUUCCAGAGAUUCAGCAUGAUUCAGAAUGUCCAAACAAAAACCACUAGUAUCCUUACCAAUAAUGUGCCAGUACUUUUGGUAAAAUACUGCCAGAAAGCUAUCAAAACCUAAAGGUUUUGUAGGCCCCAUCCUUUUCAACGCCUCAACAAUUUCUCCUUCUGUGUAAGUGGCCAUCAAACUUUGAUUCAUACUGUUCGAAAUACACGAAUGAACCCCUGAGAGUAUGUGCUCCAAAUUUCCAAUUCCUCUAGAGGCAAAUAGGUCCGAAAAAUAUUCACGAGCGAUAUUCUCCACCUCCCUACCAUCCAUAGUAAAGGAGCUAUUGCUUCUUUGUAAACCUCGAACCCGGUUAAUACGCCAUCUUUGAGAAGCAUAAUUAUGGAAGAACAAAGUAUUCUUAUCCCCCAUUUUCAGCCAAUUUGCUCUUGCUUGUUGCUCCCAAUAUCUCUCCUCCUUAUCCAUCUCCAUAUUCAAGUGUAAUUUGACCUCAACAAACUCAGCCAAAUUCUCCUCCAAUCUCUCCUCGAAAUUUAACUCCUCUAAUCUCUUUGUUAGUCGUUUCGCUUCACACCCUCUUUUAUACUUAAUCUUCCCUACCCAAUAUUUCAACCUAUUAGCAAGAGUUGACAUGCGAUGUAGAAAAAUUUUAAAAAUUAUAUUUAAUACAAUAGAAAAUUUAUUAUAUUUGUGGUAGUGUUUUUUUAUAUAAAUUUUUUAAUGGUUUAAAAAACUUUAUUUUAGUACUUUUUAAUAUAUUUAGUGUAUUAUAGUUUUUAAAAAAAUAAUCUGAAAAAAAAUCAAAUAUGGGUGGAUCAAGUCGGUUAUAAAUUAUUAUCUCAAUAUAAUUCAAAAUUUCACGUACAUCAUUCUUUAUAGGUAUGCUUCAAGCAAAAUUAUCAUCUAAAAAAUUCUAAAAUCGAUUAUAAAAAACAUAUCAAUAGAAAAGAACGGUAAAAACAUCCUAAUGACAUAAAUGAAUGUUACAAAUUCUAUAUAAAGUCAACAUUUAGGAUUUGAAAAUAUUCAUUACGACAAAUUUACAAAUCUCAAAGGCAUAUAAAAUUAAUUCAACAUCUCAUUGGGUUAAGAUUUCAUGCAAACUACAUGUAUCAUGCAAAAAUUGAAAAUAAAAUAAAAUAUGAAAAUUUUAAAAAAAUAACUAGAAAAAAUUCAUGCAAACUAAAUUGACUUGACUCCACCAACUUAAAUCGAACAUUGUCCUCAAUGUUCCAAAAAUAAGCGGAGAAUUAAGAAACUUCCUUGUUAAGGUGCUGAGAAAAUAUAUGAAAAUUGACCCAUCCUUUGCUCUUUUUGAAGCAUCAAUGACUCGUUCUGUUAAGGUGUGGUGGUAACUAUGACACAAAAUCAAAUUUAAAAAAUUAAAAAUAAUAAAAGCAACUAAAAACAAUAAAAAAAAUCAACGACUCUUUCUGUUAAGGUGUGGUGGUACCUACAACAAAAAAUCAAAUUAAAAGAAUUUUAAAAAAUAAAAGCAACUAAACACAAUAAAAAAUAUAAUUAAGUGUAGACCAAGAAUUUAACAGUCGUACUUAUCUAAUCACAUAAUAGAUUAAAAUGGUUUCACUAAAUAUCUGAAGCCGCUCCCUUGAUCUACUUUCAAAAUUGUUCUUUUAUUGCGCUUGAUUUCAAAGAAAAAUAGAAAGCCAACUAAAGCGAGUAAAACGGUUUUUAAGAGGUCAAAUAUAUGGUAUAAUAUCAAAUAUAAAAUUUUAAAAUACCAAAAUACCUUUAAAAUGAGAGCUAGGGCCAUUCACUCCACUGAAAACACGAAAAAUUUGAGUUACGAAGGUUUUCAUCAGCACUAGGGCACUAGAUAGAGAUCGAGUUUUGAAGUUUGUGGCGCCAGGGCGUCGAUGUACCAUCUUGCAGUUGCGCACUAGGCAUUAACUUCAAAGCUAAGGCACUUGGUUUGGCCUCGAGACUUCAUUUGAAGUUCCUUUCACUCCUCUAAUUUGGUCCUACACAUCAAAAAUACUAAAAUAGAAAUUUAAAAACACAAAGACUCAAAAUAAAAUAUUAAAAAUUGCAAGUGAGUUAAAAUUAAAUGUGUUAAGCAACCUAAAUAUGCAAACUACAUGCUAUGCAAUGAAAACAAAAAAGGUAAAGUAAUAAUAAAAAUAUUUAACCACGAAAUUACUUCUCUACAAACGCCUUUAUUUAAUGUCUUUGGCUAAACGUUUUUAAAUGUUAUUUCAUUACCGGAAGAUUCGAUUUGGUACAAAUUAGAGGUUGAGGAAACUUUGGAGUGUUGAUUCCCCUUUGGUUCUUUAAUCAACCAUUCCCAAACCUAUUUAUACUUCUAAUAUAGUAAAAGUACAUGAAUAGGUUGAAGGGAUGGUGGUUGUUUGUAUAUCGCCCUAAAAUUUAAGUUUUAUUUUUGUAUGUUAUGUUACACAAAUAUGUAUUUGCCUUAGUGGUUAUGUUUCUAGUAGUGUCUGAGAAGUCUUGGGUUUAAGCCUUGGCUUGUGCAAAACUUUGUUUUAGUAUGAAUAAACCCUAUUUUAAGUCAGUAGGCUUUUUAAAUUAAUGUGAGUAGAGUAUGACAGAAAGAGCCUGCUGGUCUAAGGGAUAGAUGGCGUGUCACUGUUACUAAAGGUCUUGAGUUCGAGUCUUGUUACUUGUAAGGUGUGUUUUAUUUUGCUGCAGUGCCGUGUAAGAGGUUGAAUAUCAAUGGAACUCUGGUGCUAAUGGGCGGUUGGAGUGUUUGAGGGGAGUGGGGAGUGUGUAGCCGAAUUCAAGGAGGAUAUUGUGGAGAGGUUUUAGGAGAAAAUCUAGGGGAUUUGAAGUGGAGGGAGUGUUGGUGUCGAAAUGGGAGUGUAGGCUCUCAAUGAGUUCAGUUUGGGGUAGAAUUCGGCUUUGGGGGUGAACUUUAGUUUCGAUUGCUGUACACUUUUGUUUGCUUUUUCCUCCUCACUUUUGGUUUUUGUUAAGUGCUUUCGGGUUUUUUUCUACACUUUUCGAUAGCCAAAUACUAUUAGGGAAUUUUUCGGGUACGUUUAUUUUGCAUUAUUUCAGUUUUUGGUUUUUCUCCCUCUACUCUUUGACAACCAUUUUCCCCUUAAUACCUUUUGUGGCCAAAUACUUUUCUUCUUUCCCUCUCCUAAUCGAUCAUUAACAUUUACCUUCUUCUUCCCCCUUCUCAACUCAUUCGGGUUUCAACGUUUGCACAUUGGUACUAUUUCCAAAUAGUUCCUCUCUCUUUCUCCCUCUCUACUUUUCUGGUUUUCAUCAGGCUUCCCUUUUUAUCUGCUUAAGUCGAAUACCUCUUCUUUCUCUUAUUGCUAAAUCCCUUUAUUUCCUUCUUGCUUGUUGAAUCACUUUCGAUUUUUAGAACCUCUUCGAGAAGUGAAUGACUAUUCUCUAGUAUUGAAGCAAUCAAGUCUCUCUCUCAGUACUUGAUUAUAGGUAUCGUGACCCUUAUAUAUCAUGUGUCGAACUUUGGUGCAUGGCUUGUGUCUUAGGUGUUGGCCGAUUGCCUUAUUUUCCCUAUCUCUGGUUUUGUGUUUUCAAUAAGCCAAUAUAUGUUGAUUCAAGCCAUGUGUUUAUGCAAUCAUCAUUAAUGGAUUUCACUAAUAAUGCAGCUUUUCGACAAGGAGAGUGUAAUCAACCUCCGUCAGCUGUUUAAGCGGGUUAAACUACACUCGUUCAAUCAAGGCAAGUAUCAAAUACUAUUUUAUGUUAAGUGUUCAAAAGUGGGUGAUUAACCCUAUUGUCAAUCGACUAAUGGAACACCUGGAUUGAAUGUAGGUUUGGUGCUCGUGGGCUAUUCGCACGAUUUCGUAAAUAGGUGUGUAAACACUGCCCAAAACGUAAAGCGGCAAAAG
rnacentral:lncRNA from 1 species